UUUUUCGCCCAUACAGAGAUACGAAAUGACGACGCCGCCUGCAGCAACCCGUCCCUGCUUUCAAAUCCAUACAAGGCAGAGAUGAAUGAUCUCUGGUAUUGACUUUCGUCAGUGACGACCAUCUCCAGUUAUAUAGCCAUGGAUGCAUGUUGUGGAGCUCCAUUGAUUAAAGCAAGGGGAGAAGGUAAGGUCCAGCCUCUCGAAGAGGGUUAUCGUUCGUGAUUGAGAUUAUGGUGAGACAUUCGCCUAUAGCGACACAGCAUUCAUAUACCUGUAACACGUAGUCUCGAUGGCGAAGGAAAAAUACUAUGUUGUCCUGGUUGGGCAUCGGCCAGGAAUUUAUCUUACAUGAGAUGAUGCGCGAGUCGAGGUGGAGGGAUACAGUGGGGGCCGUCAUCGAGCGUUCAAGAAUUUGAGAGAGGCUAUGACAUGCUGGGAUCGUUUUUUCAGUCUGGCGAGUGCACCGCCAACACAUGGACGUGGAUCUCUCUCGGGAGAUGUGGCCACAUCAGUGGACACAGUUGAUGUCCAUCAUUCUGCAACGCUGUCUAUCCAACAGACAACCCGGGCUACUAUUUCUAGGCCCACGUCCACUGAUGAUCUCCCCCCUUCAGCAGCAAAGAGAUUUUUGGCACUCCUGA